AAUUAAGCAGCACUUAGUUACCAUAGCAUUCCAAAUAUUAACCUCAGUACUGUUAUUAAUCAUGUAAUGAUAAUUUCUGGUAGAAGAAAAACAAGGAAAACAUGGAGAGUAAUGGUGAGGUUAGAUCUUAGGAUGUUGGGCCUCGUAGAUAAGAUGAUGCAGGUUUGCAAUAAAAGGCUAUUGUACUGUAGGAAUUCAGCAUAAAGUUAGUUAACCGAAUUAAAAAAUAGACACCACUCAAAAUGUUUUCAAUUAUAAAAUAAUACAGCAACAACAA